AGAAAGGAUCGGGAGACGGAAAGAUGGCAGCCGCAGGUAAAAAGGGCGACUAAAUAAAUACGAAAAUGCAUUGAAAAGGGAAAAGUAAAACCAACGUGAAGGCAAAGAUAGAUCCACAACUUCACUUCACUCAUUCUGGACAUUUCAUUACUAUCUGUUAUUUAUUUGAGAAACCAACUACAACUACCAACUACGAGUGAGCCAUCACUCAUCACGUGGUCUUGGUCGAUGAUACAUAAUGCGGACAUAAUCCAAUCUUAUCAAAAUGCUAAUGUCUCCCCCUUGUUCAGCUCCGAUCCCUUCUUGGCGGCCAAGCCCUUUCAUGUUUGCGCGCUCUCCAUCAGACAUUCCCCUCUCUUUCUCUCUCUCUCUAUUGCGCUGUCUGUUUCGUGAAGUUAUCCCCUCCCCCCCCCCCCCCCCCCUGAAAAGAUAAGCGUGGGAAAACCUCUCUCUCGCUCUCUUCUCUGUCACAUUCACUUGAGGUCAUUCAAUCGGCCCAUAAAUGGCUUUGUUUUUGUUUACAUUAGCUCAGAGGCGGCUUCAUAAGUCAUGAAUGAACUGACUAGUAUCUCUUCAGACUUUCUAUCAAUUGCUUUGGUGUCUCGAAGUCGACGGGUGUAUCUGUCAUUUUGAGACAGAGAAUUUAUUUUACUCCAAUAUAAAGUAAAAGACGAAGAAAUUUGAGUACUGCAAUUUUUGUGAAAAUAAGAAAAUGCAAUAUUGUUUUUAAUAUAAGGAAAAUAAUUACAGCUUUAAAUACAUGACUUGGUCUAGCUCGAUAAAAAUCCAAACAACUAUGAUCAUAUACAUUUUUUUUUCUUCGUAACAUUGGAUAACAAAUUUCACAAAUUCCAACAUACUAUAAAUAUUGAUUAUUUAGUGCAAGGGUAAAUAUGACAAUGACUCGGAACAUAAUACAGGGAUAACAAUUAAUCAAAUUACUCUUAAUACUUGUAAACGUUUUUUUUAAUUAUUUUUUAUAAUUUUUUUUCUUCAGGGGGGCGGGGUCAAAUUUUCCCUCGUGUCGCGCCACGCCUUUUUAAUUUCUUGGCGAGAGGCCUGAUUAUGCAUAGA
rnacentral:lncRNA from 1 species